rnacentral:rRNA from 1 species
AUUGAACGCUGGCGGCAGGCCUAACACAUGCAAGUCGAACGAGUGGCGGACGGGUGAGUAAUGACUGGGAAACUGCCCGAUGGCGGGGGAUAACUACUGGAAACGGUAGCUAAUACCGCAUACCAUCGGAUGUGCACAGAUGGGAGUAGCUAGUAGGUGGGGUAAAGGCUCACCUAGGCGACGAUCCCUAGCUGGUUUGAGAGGAUGACCAGCCACACGGGAACUGAGGCACGGUCCAGACUCCUACGGGAGGCAGCAGGGGGGAAUAUUGCACAAUGGGCGCAAGCCGGAUGCAGCCAUGCCGCGUGUAUGAAGAAGGCCUUCGGGUUUUAAAGUACUUUCAGCGGGGAGGCGUUACCCGAAGAAGAAGCACCGGCUAACUCCGUGCCAGCAGCCGCGGUAAUUC